UUUCUUCAAUGAAAUACAUUUGUUACGCUUGACUUCUAA
rfam:Arabidopsis thaliana chromosome 4, complete sequence.